UACGUAGGGAGCAAGCGUUAUCCGGAUUCAUUGGGCGUAAAGCGCGCGUAGGCGGUUAUGUAAGUGGGACCUCUAAUCCUGGGGCUUAACUCCAGGCCGGGUUCCAAACUGCGUGACUUGAGUGCGGUAGAGGUAGACGGAAUUCCAUGUGUAGCGGUGAAAUGCGCAGAUAUAUGGAAGAACACCGAUGGCGAAGGCAGUCUACUGGGCCGAUACUGACGCUGAGGCGCGAAAGCUGGGGGAGCAAACA
rnacentral:rRNA from 1 species